UAUCUAUCUAUUUUUAUUGUCACGUCUUUAUCCAUCUAUGUAACGCUUAAUCAUCAAUUAUUAUAUUAAACUUCAAUAAAGGCAACAACAUCUUGGUUGGUUUGUUUUAUCUGAUUAGUGUACCAAAUUCAAUUGGAACUAUAUCAGAUCCAUGAAAUUAUUGAUUAUUGAUACAUGCAGGUUAUGUGUGAUCCUUAUACACCAGCUGGUGUUCCAAUUCCAACCAACAAGAGGCACAACGCUGCUAAAAUUUUCAGACACCCAUCAUUGCCUCCGAGGAGCCUUGGUAUGCUCAUCUUCUUCUUUUUUGGCUAUACAUAUUAUUUUCGUUACUAUAAAUUCUAAUAGUGUUUGUUUUUUUAAACGAUUGUAUGUUUUGGAUGAAUGAAAGCAACCACGAUGCAUGAAGAAGAUUCAAGUGAUGUUUCAAUUGAUCUUUUAUCUUUAAUUUAUCGAUUUUCUAAUUUUACAAAAAUGUUCUCACUGAGUAGAAUAUACUUUUGAGUUUUGAGUUAAAUCUUUCACAGUCUGUUGUGGAUUAGCAACGUUUCAAGCCAUAUUAACUAUUGUGUUGUGGCAAUUCGAAAGAUUCAUAUAAAUUGGACUAUUGCUACAAAAAAAACAGAAUCACAGGUUCAAUUCUAUCAAAGGAGAUAAAGCCUCUUAUCUCUACUGUCUUUGAGGGUAAAGAUGCUAAUGUCAUCGCCCACGGAGCAAGAAAUUGCGGAAAAACACAUCUCAUACAUGUAUUGAAAGCAAUCCCAUUAAGGGAAAUGAUAGGGAGCUUGGUUUAACCGUUCUUACAAUGUCUGAGAUGCUAUCCAUGGCUGUAUCAGUUUACGAGGUUUCUCAGGAAACCGUGUAUGACCUUUUAGACCAAGAGAAGCGAGUGGUUGCUGUACUGGAAGGUGCACAAGGGAAAAUUCAACUAAAGGGACUUCCUCAGGCAAGUCAUUUAUUGUUCUUGAUCAUUAAGUCUUGGAACGUCAUAUGUAUUUUGCAGAUUAGCAUCAUUAAUAUUUCAAUGUUUCUGCUUUCAGGUACCUAUGAAGUCACUCUCAGAAUUCCAUAAAGGUGUGAUGAUACAUGUUACCACUGGCAACGCCAAUCCAGGCUCCCUUGGGAGGAAGAACUUUCUUGAUAUGGCAGAAUGUCAUGUAUGCUCUCAACGGAAAUGAAUCCCAUGUGCCAUAUCGGGAGAGCAAACUCACUCGAAUGCUGAAAGAUUGUUUAAAAGGAUGCAACAGACGUUGCUGAUCACAUGCUUGAUAUACUUUUCUUGCUGUUGAGUUCGUUUUAAGUUUAUGAUUCACUGAAUGUAACUGCAGGCGAUGCUAACCCUUUUGUUUUUUUUUUAGCCUCGAGAAUAUAGCCAAAACUCCUUUUACAUGUUAAACUUAGCAUCACAGAUCUGUCUAGGUAGUAACCGAGCCAUGACUAAUCCUACUAAGAAGAAGAUCAACGGUCUUGAAAGAUCUAUUUCAUUAUGCUCUGCUGCUCAAAGGAAACAGACACCUUUGACUGUGUCUGCUACUUCUAGAAAACAGACAGUGCUAAGGGAAAAUGUGACAGAGAGAAAAGACUAAAAUCAACACUGCUGCUUCUGCAAUUAAAGCAAGGAAACUGUUCCGGGAAGCAAACGAUUCGGUGAAAUGUAAAAAUAGCAUGUUGGAAAAUUUAAUUAAUACGUCAUGAAGUUGAACAAUCUAGAUUCUUCCUUUACAAAGAGGUAAAACAGAGGGUAUAAAAACAGAGACUAAGAGACCAAGAGUCUUAAUUAAGGAGGUUUGGUAUACCACUUAACCCUAAUCAAUCCACUACUUACUUGAUAAAGACAUAUUCUCAUCAUGUAUAUUUGAUUAGAUUAGCUAGGCUCGUAAUAUGGGACAAAACCCCGAAGAUGAGCAAGAAAUGCUUUGAAAGAUUUUAUCGUAGCAUGAGUGUCAUAUCUACACCCUUCAGUGCUCCCUUGUAAAAUCAGAGUAUCUGAGUAUAGAUACUUAAUAGGUUUAAGUGUUCUUCGAUCUUGGACGAUAUGUUCCAACUUAUACUGAUACAGAGGGUCACGACAUACAUACUAUAAUUGAUAGAGAGUAUUAUCGUCAUCGUGGAUUCAGGUUUUUCCAAGGACGAUGGAUACAUGGCCGGCCCUAUAGACAUCAACAAGAAACUUUUGCUGUAGUCCAAAUUUUGUUUCUGAAAUUCUUCAACAAAAAUUAUU